rnacentral:misc_RNA from 1 species
UCCCGCUUAUCACGGGCAGUUCCCCCAAAGUGCCCAGCUUGACCUGCUGGCAACCGAGGGUGUGGGUUGCGCUCGUUGCCGGACUUAACCGAACAUCUCACGACACGAGCUGACGACAGCCAUGCAGCACCUGUCUCCCUGCCCCUUGCGGGGAAACCGACUCUCGCCGGCGGUCAGGGGAUGUCAAGGGUUGGUAAGGUUCUGCGCGUUGCAUCGAAUUAAUCCACAUCAUCCACCGCUUGUGCGGGUCCCCGUCAAUUCCUUUGAGUUUUAAUCUUGCGACCGUACUCCCCAGGCGGGAAGCUUAAUGCGUUAGCUGCGCCACCGACAGGUAAACCUGCCGACGGCUAGCUUCCAUCGUUUACGGCGUGGACUAC